AAAGUAGAAAUUUGACGGAUGCUUCAAAAUAUCUGUUCUAUCGUCGAACCAUGAUGGCUAAGUUGAUACUCUUGGUCCUCUUUAUUUCCUUAUAUGCAGCUUUCGCCGAAGCGAGAGUAUGCAAUCCGUCUGCUGGAGCGUCUAGUCUCUCAGGGGUCGAUAUGAUGCUUAGCGUCGUUCUGGUCGUUGCAUUCAGUUGUCUUCACAAAUACCUGAUUUUUAAAUGAUGUGGAACUGAAACUAAAGAUUUAUUCUAAACAGAAAUAUAAAAUUUCAAUUUUGUAAUCUAAUCGGUUGAUAAUUUUUUAUUAUUAUAAAAAAAUGGACAAGGAUUAUAUACAGUAGAUAGCUGUUGUAAUAAAUAAUCUAUUAGAAAAAUCUUCAAUAUUGUUACCUCAGGUAUAAAAGAGUUUGUUUAUUUUGACGAAUCAAAAUAUGUAAAUGUAAAAUUACGAAUAAAGCAUAUUAAAUUAUGAGAA